GACGAACGCUGGCGGCGUGGAUUAGGCAUGCAAGUCGAACGGUAUCAUCCUUUCGGGGGUGAGAGAGUGGCGAACUGGUGAGUAACACGUAGGUUAUCUACCCUCAAGACGGGGACAACCCAGGGAAACUUGGGCUAAUACCGGAUGUGAGCAACUUUUAGUGUUUGAAAGGUGGCGUAAGCUGUCGCUUGGGGAUGAGCCUGCGUCCUAUUAGUUAGUUGGUGAGGUAACGGCUCACCUAGGCAAUGAUAGGUAGGCGGCCUUAACGGGUGGUCGCCCACACUGGGAUUGAGAUACGGCCCAGACUCCUACGGGAGGCAGCAGUCGAGAAUAGUCUACAAUGGUCGGAAGACUGAUAGUGCGACGCCGCGUGAACGAUGAAUCCCUUCGGGGUGUAAAGUUCUUUUAUAUGUGAGCAGUGCUUCUUAUAUUAACAGUAUGGGGAGAGAGAUAUUAGCAUAUGAAUAAGCAACGGCUAACUCCGUG
rnacentral:rRNA from 1 species